CCACCUGAUCCCUUCCCGAACUCAGAAGUGAAACCUCUUAGCGCUGAUGGUAGUGUGGGAUUACCCAUGUGAGAGUAAGUCAUCGCCAGCUC
rnacentral:rRNA from 1 species